rnacentral:rRNA from 1 species
AUACUGAGAAUUUCUAUAAAAUUAUAGAACCUUUUAUGCUAAAACUAGUAACAAGAGGUAAAUCCUCUCUACAAUGUCGAUACAAGCCAGCAAGGACCCACCACUGGCAAUUGACAGACCUAUUAAGAGUAGCAACUCCUCGAGAAAACACUACUCCAACUAACUGUUAACCUAAUACCAGAACAUUUCAAGAAAGAUUAAAAGAAAGAGAAGGAAUUCGGCAAACAUUAGCCCCGCCUGUUUACCAAAAACACCGCCUCUUGUUCAUAUAAGAGGUCCAGCCUGCCCAGUGACUUCUGUUCAACGGCCGCGGUAUCCUAACCGUGCAAAGGUAGCGUAAUCACUUGUCUUCUAAAUAAAGACUAGUAUGAAAGGCAUCACGAGGACUAAACUGUCUCCUCUCCCUAAUCAGUGAACCUAAUAACCCCGUGAAGAAGCGGGGAUAUCUAUAUAAGACGAGAAGACCCUAUGGAGCUUAAAACAUCAUAACACCUGCCACCCCACUUAUUUACCCCGGUUUUCACCCCUGUGGCUCUCUGAUUAUAUGUUUUUGGUUGGGGCGACCGCGGAGAAAAACCUAUCCUCCACAAUGAAAGGGCCCCCCCCC